UUUAUCAGGAAUUCAGGAUUAAAGUUUCUUGAGAGAGCAAACAGAUCAGAAAUUUUUAAUGAUGUUAAAGUUUCUUUUUUUUAUUUUAUUUUUUAUACGAGCUUACUUGAAAAAGGAUUUGAUAAAUAUCAUUAAUGAAGUUAUUAUGAUUACUUAAUACUAAUUUUAGAAGAGAUACUGAUUAAUUCCGAGGUAUAAUGUUUUUACCCUAUUUUUACUGAAUCGGAGGUGCAGAGAAAUCACAUGGGCCAAUGGUCCCAAUUGUUAAAUGUCGAUAUCAAC
rnacentral:lncRNA from 1 species